rnacentral:rRNA from 1 species
UACGUAGGGCGCAAGCGUUGUCCGGAAUUAUUGGGCGUAAAGAGCUCGUAGGCGGUCUGUCGCGUCUGCUGUGAAAAUCCAGGGCUCAACCCUGGACCUGCAGUGGGUACGGGCAGACUAGAGUGCGGUAGGGGAGAUCGGAAUUCCUGGUGUAGCGGUGAAAUGCGCAGAUAUCAGGAGGAACACCGGUGGCGAAGGCGGAUCUCUGGGCCGUAACUGACGCUGAGGAGCGAAAGCAUGGGGAGCGAACAGG